rnacentral:rRNA from 1 species
AGAGUUUGAUCAUGGCUCAGGAUGAACGCUAGCUACAGGCUUAACACAUGCAAGUCAGGGGCAUCAGUUUGGUUUGCUUGCAAACCAAAGCUGGCGACCGGCGCACGGGUGAGUAACACGUAUCCAACCUGCCUUACACUCUUGGACAGCCUUCUGAAAGGGAGAUUAAUACAAGAUGUUAUCAUGAGUAAGCAUUUUCGCAUGAUUAAAGGUUUACCGGUGUAAGAUGGGGAUGCGUUCCAUUAGAUAGUAGGCGGGGUAACGGCCCACCUAGUCUUCGAUGGAUAGGGGUUCUGAGAGGAAGGUCCCCCACAUUGGAACUGAGACACGGUCCAAACUCCUACGGGAGGCAGCA